UACGAAGGGGCUAGCGUUGUUCGGAUUUACUGGGCGUAAAGCGCACGUAGGCGGAUCGUUAAGUCGGGGGUGAAAUCCUGGAGCUCAACUCCAGAACUGCCUUCGAUACUGGCGAUCUUGAGUCCGGAAGAGGUGAGUGGAACUCCUAGUGUAGAGGUGGAAUUCGUAGAGUAUUAGGAAGAACACCAGUGGCGAAGGCGGCUCACUGGUCCGGUACUGACGCUGAGGUGCGAAAGCGUGGGAGCAAACAGGG
rnacentral:rRNA from 1 species